UUACUGAUUUAAUGCAUUUUUCUUACCUUUUUCAAAUGUCCCGAGAGUGUUGCUUGAGAUUUUGAAAUGCUUCCGGCUCCUGGCUUGCUGUUUUUAAAUACGACAGGGGUUAUGCUAAGAGCCUCACUGUUGAGAUGCACUAGUUAAGCAUCUUAUCAGGAAACAAGGCCAGUCGGGCAAGACGCGCGGGGAAAACCGCUCCGGAGCCGUCUGCUGGGACGGUAGCCUGCCGGUUUACCGACCCGUCAUUAAUUACUCUCCUCUUCAUUGUUACGAAAAUGCUUCUAAUUUGUUUUUAUGUGCGAUGUGUUAACUAAUAAGUGUGCUGUAGUAUAGUCAUAGAAUAACGUAAGAAACGGAAAGCCCACUGGUGGUGUGAAAACCACGUGCUCCCUACUGAAGUGCAAGGCAGUUGGAAGGAUUUCAUUUGUGCAGUUUAUGUAUCCAUUAGUUUGCCUAACUACAUGUCUGUAAAGAGCGUGGGGCACGUGACGGCAGGUUCGGCACUUGCUCUGAAGCAGUGAAGGCAGUGUUGUUGUGUACACUCUCUUUAACUGAUAUUAUAUGAUAAGUGUCCUCAGUUUGGAUUAAACAUCAUUUCAGAUAAACAAAUGGAGAGGCUGUUUUGGAAUUCUUUGGCAAGAAGCCACGCAUUGCAUUAUUAUAGUAACUUAAACCCAUUUGUUAACAUUAUUGAUGGUGUGUUAGGUGCUAACAUGGAUGAAAUAAUUCUUCCAAAGACCUUGGCUUAAAAAGGCAGAUACACAUCCAUUAGCCUGUGGGUUUUCCUUACAGAUAUACUGUGUAGUAUAGUGUCUAGCAUAUGUAGUAUUAUGUGGGUCAGUUCGCUGGUUAUACACCAUCUUCGUAGUAUCCCAGCUGACCUUAGGCUCUGCUACAUGCAUAGCCGCUUCAUUAGAAGGGUUCAGGUGGGUCCCGUCCCGCUGGGGGGGGGUGCUGGGGCAGUGUGCAGAUGCGAGCUGCUUAAAGGGGUUAGACACCUUCUCUCCAGGAUAAACGCAGUCCUCCCUUUGCCCUCUAUCUCUGGUGCAGGCCUCUCCUGCUUCAUCGUGGUGACAGCUUGCGCACACCAGCAGGGGGCGCUCCGUUUUGCCGUGUCCUACUCCCUGGGCGUCUUGGCCUCCCUCUCUGUUUAUAACAUUUGCUGGGGUGCGACACACCUUUCUGGACUGCUGUGCAGAGCAGGCCUGCCUUUCACGUUCUCUCCUCCUUUUAAAAACGCUUAAUAGGAAUCAUUCAACCGUAGAUUUCAGUGUGGGUGGGUGGGGAGCACCGCAGAGCAUUGUGGGACAUCCUGUCUCUUUCUGUCUGUCACUCUCUCUCUCUUUUGGGAACUCUGGUCUUUUACGGGAGAUGGUGUGAACUGAUUGUAGAUUAACUACUGGGCAGCAAGACACUUAUUGGAUUCUUCUCACCUUUGGGACCCUCCCCAGCCGGUAACUGACGCAUUCCUGCUCCUGUCACGCUUCUCUGUGUCUGUGUGUGUCUGUUUCUAUGUGUGUGUCUCUGCUAUCACGCCACCCCCACCAGCGCUCUCUGGCUCUGUGACCCCAGCUGUGAACAGGACACCAGUCUCUCCCUGCCAGCGGUCAGCCAGACGCGUCCAGCCCCCCGUGCUGCUGCCUCCUCUGCCCAUCUGCUCCUCCUUUCGCCCCUGCCCUGCCCUCCAGUUGGCUAGAUUAGCACUGGCUAAUGGCAAUCUCUUUAUUUAGCUAUUUUCCUCUGUUGCUGAAAAACUGACUCGCUGUGGGGUGUGUUUAGGGCUUUGGCCACGCGGGAUUGGGCCCCAGCUUACAGCUUAUAGCAUGUGACUGGCUAAUGAUAAGGUUAUGGCCCCCGCUAUGCCCCCCAUCGUAAAGUACCCUGGAACUGCAGGGUCUUGCAGAGAGUAAAUGUUGGUUUAACGGGCAGCUGGCUGGAUGUAUCCUGUUCCAAAGCUGCCUUUUCUACCUCAUGAAGCGCCCCCCCCACCUCACCCACCAAAAACUCAAUAAGAAAACAAAUGAGCAGCUUAAACUAAAUGCAGGACAUUUUCUCACCCUUAAUUGGGGCGGCCCUGUGGGGCUCGCUUGGUGCCGGGGUGCCUAUUUCUCUAAGCUUGGGCUUCGGCCCUCAGCAGCAGUAGGUGUGUGUCACUCCUCGCAAUUCCUCCUUGAUGCUUGCGGUCGGCGCGUCUCUUUAUCGCCUCUUUCCUCCCUUUUUUUAUGUAUUUAUUAUAAUCUUUAAGUGAUGUUUGAGCUCUUAUCUGUCCCCUGGGAUCCGGCGUUUUUCCAGCCGAACAAAGGGAAAGACGAAAGAUAAUGUCACUCAGGGAACUGGGGGUGUUUCUGCAUGUUUAAAUGCAGCUCCCUACCGCUGUGUCCUCCAUGUUAAGCCCAUGUACCUCCUGCGCGCGUUCUGAGGUAUGUGCCCAUGGCUCACGGUGAGUUAUUGAUUUAUUUAAUUGCUGGUAGCAUUUCCAAAGUUCUCCUCAGAAAUGUCCUCUGCUCAUCAUCAAUGGAAAAGCAUUCAGACCCUUAAUUAUUGGAUCCAGGUUAUUGAUUUAAUGAUCAAUUUGCUAAUUAGGGUUCUCAUAACGUAGGCAGAUCUUUAACGAAGCUGAUCUGGGUAUUUUUUUUCUCUUGGCUUAAAGAAAGAUGUAUUUAAAAAGAUCUGAAUCUCACCUUUGCAGUUUUGGACAGUUUUACUGUUAGGAAUCAGCUUUAAAAAUGUUAAUAAUUCAUUUACACUUUGGAGGCUCUGGUCCACCACAAACCUUGUAGUAGCUUGCUGGCCUCUGAUUGAACUGGCUGUUACUUUUUGGGACUGAUUUCUUAUUUCUGUGUUUGUUUGUCUCUGUGAACAUAGCCAGAAUUCUUAAUCACGUGUUUGCAGGAGAGGAUGGCCAGGUGGUCUGUUACUCUGGCCGAGAUGUGAGGAGGGAUGCCGUGGCCAGGUGGUCUGUUACUCUGGCCGAGAUGUGAGGAGGGAUGUCGUGGCCAGGUGGUCUGUACUCUGGCCGAGAUGUGAGGAGGGAUGUCGUGGCCAGGUGGUCUGUUACUCUGGCCGAGAUGUGAGGAGGGAUGUCGUGGCCAGGUGGUCUGUACUCUGGCCGAGAUGUGAGGAGGGAUGUCGUGGCCAGGUGGUCUGUUACUCUGCCCGAGAUGUGAGGAGGGAUGUCGUGGCCAGGAGGACCUUAACCACAGGGUUUUCAAAGAGGUGAUAUCUAGCAGAGGUAGCAUGCUUGCUAUUGAAUGGCAGGAACUGGGGAUGGGUUUAGAAGUGAAGGAGAAAAGGAAUGGAAUCAAACCCAGGGAGGUAACUGGAACUGGGGGCGUCGGCGUUAAGCGGUGCGAGGAUGUGGAGGUCAGGCCCGGCAAACCCAGGGAGGUAACUGGAACUGGGGGCGUCGGUGUUCAGCAGUGUGAGGAUGGGGAGCUCAAGGUCACUUGUGAUGUGGGCAAGCAGACACCCUGAGCCUCAGUGAGAGGAACAGGAGGCUUUCAGUGACAUUUAUAAUUCAGGAACG